rnacentral:rRNA from 1 species
GACGAACGCUGGCGGCGUGCUUAACACAUGCAAGUCGAACGCUGAAGCUCAGCUUUUGUUGGGUGGAUGAGUGGCGAACGGGUGAGUAACACGUGAGUAACCUGCCUCCUUCUUGGGAUAACGCCCGGAAACGGGUGCUAAUACUGGAUAUUCACUGGUCUUCGCAUGGGGGUUGGUGGAAAGGGUUUUUCUGGUGGGGGAUGGGCUCGCGGCCUAUCAGCUUGUUGGUGGGGUGAUGGCCUACCAAGGCUUUGACGGGUAGCCGGCCUGAGAGGGUGACCGGUCACAUUGGGACUGAGAUACGGCCCAGACUCCUACGGGAGGCAGCAGUGGGGAAUAUUGCACAAUGGGCGCAAGCCUGAUGCAGCGACGCCGCGUGAGGGAUGGAGGCCUUCGGGUUGUGAACCUCUUUCGCUCAUGGUCAAGCCGCAACAAUGGUUGUGGUGAGGGUAGUGGGUAAAGAAGCGCCGGCUAACUACGUG